ACGCGUAGGCGGCUCUGUUUGUCGCGUGUGAAAGCCCCGGGCUCAACCUGGGAGGUGCGCGCGAGACGGCGGGGCUGGAGUUCGGGGGAGGAGCGUGGAAUUCCCAGUGUAGAGGUGAAAUUCGUAGAUAUUGGGAAGAACACCGGUGGCGAAGGCGGCGCUCUGGACCGAGACUGACGCUGAGGCGCGAAAGCGUGGGGAGCAAACAGGGAUUAGAUACCCUGGUAGUCCACGCUGUAAACGAUGUGUGCUAGACGUUUGGGAGGCCUAGCCUCUCGGUGUCGCAGCCAACGCGGUAAGCACACCGCCUGGGGAGUACGGCCGCAAGGUUAAA
rnacentral:rRNA from 1 species